GAUUGCAGGCUGNAACCCGCCUGCAUGAAGUCGGAAUUGCUAGUAAUCGCGGAUCAGCAUGCCGCGGUGAAUACGUUCCCGGGCCUUGUACACACCGCCCGUCACACCAUGGGAGCCGGUAAUACCCGAAGUCAGUAGCCCAACCUCGUGAGGACGCUGCCGAAGGUAGGAUUGGCGACUGGGGUGAAGUCGUAACAAGGUACC
rnacentral:rRNA from 1 species